rnacentral:misc_RNA from 1 species
CAGAAAUACAUUUUUUUUAAUCCAGUAAGUUACGGUCCUCAUACUAUAUGCUGUAUAUGAGUACAAAAGGGCUCUCAGCCUGAUAGUACCAAAGAGUGGGAAGCGGCACCGAGCAUGAAUAUAAGUAUACAGUAUAUGGCCCAAUCUCUCUCUCUCAAUAAUGAUGGGAAGGGAAAUUAAAGAUCAUGGUCGCUGAGAAGAAGGAAAUGAGUGCCCUUGUUUGUUCCUUUACUCUCCCCCUCUCACUCUUUUUCUUUCUCUCUCUCACCUGCCUCUAUAUAUAGCAUGAACAUGAUGGCCUUCUAAAUUGUGGCCUUUCUCCUUCUCUCUGUCUAAACGUCUCUCAGCUGCUUUCCCUUCUUACAGUUUCUCUCGAUAAAGCUUGAAAAACCAAUUUGUAGGUCUCACAGGUAAAAUUCUUAACUGGUUUGUUGCUCUUCUGUUCUCUUAUCUAAUAUCGUCUCUUCCUGGGGUUUGUAUACCCUUUUUCUUUCUCGGUUUCUCGCUUCCUUUUGUUAUGUUUUAGGGUUAGGGUGGAAAAUGGGCUUUGCUUUCACAU